rnacentral:rRNA from 1 species
CACGCCCUAAACGAUGUCAACUAGGUGUUGGGUGGGUAAAACCAUUUAGUACCGGAGCUAACGCGUGAAGUUGACCGCCUGGGGANACGCGAAAAACCUUACCUACCCUUGACAUGUCCAGAAGCCCGAAGAGAUUUGGGUGUGCCCGAAAGGGAGCUGGAACACAGGUGC